AGCAAGUCGAAUAAAGACAGCAAGGCUUAUAAUUUUUUCUAUUUCAGUAUAUAUUUAAUAUUUUGAAUGUUUUAUAUUAAUAUUUAUAUAUUGUGAGGUGGAGAUGGAGCAACAGCAAACACAUGAAAGCCGGUCUGAUGGUUGCUCAUGAAAGCAGGAGGUUCGCUCUUCAAAGAGCGCGAGGAAGAUGAAGAGCCACAUGGAAGGAUGAAGGUCCGUCCUGAAAGACCUCCGCUUACGCUGUGAAUGACGGCCACAGAAGAGCCGAGGUGUAAAGUGACGGGUUGAAGAGAGAUGUCCAGAUGACGGCAGCUGCUCUUUGGGAAUCUCACCAGGCAGAUGGGCACCACAUGAAGGCCUGCUCACAACAAGAAGAUUUAGUAAGAAAACAGCUGAAGAUCGACACAAGCGUGUGAAGACCUUCUCAAGACCCUGCAGAGAAACAGGCCGCGUCUACGUCUCAAAUUCACUCCACUCUCUGGGUUUGAUUGGGACCUCUUCAGGCCGCCGUCGCUGGCGUUUGCAUCAGCAGCUUCUAUAUUAAGCAGCGUGUUGUGUAUUAGUUUGUAUGAUGGAGCGUGUUGGUGCCCACGCUUCGAUUGAGACACAGAUGGCGCAGUAUUUUAGUGGCUGCUGCGUUCGCUGUGUAGGUGUUGAGAUUGUACUACAUGUACAGAAUAACCCCUCCACAGUCUUGGGUUAUGUAAAGUUUAACUGCAUCUUUGUGUCCAAAAGUUUCAGCAACCAACGAGAGCAGAUCAUCAUGCAAACAAUCCUGAGAUGAGAGUAUUAAUGACGUUACUCUACAAAUACAUCA